AGAUGGCGACCGGCGCACGGGUGAGUAACACGUAUCCAACCUGCCGAUAACUCGGGGAUAGCCUUUCGAAAGAAAGAUUAAUACCCGAUGGUAUAAUCAGACCGCAUGGUCUUGUUAUUAAAGAAUUUCGGUUAUCGAUGGGGAUGCGUUCCAUUAGGCAGUUGGUGAGGUAACGGCUCACCAAACCUUCGAUGGAUAGGGGUUCCGAGAGGAAGGUCCCCCACAUUGGAACUGAGACACGGUCCAA
rnacentral:rRNA from 1 species